UACGUAGGUGGCGAGCGUUAUCCGGAAUUACUGGGUGUAAAGGGCGCGUAGGCGGGACUGUAAGUCCGAUGUGAAAUAUCCUGGCUUAACCAGGGGGCUGCAUUGGAAACUAUGGUUCUUGAGUGAUGGAGAGGCAGGCGGAAUUCCCUGUGUAGCGGUGGAAUGCAUAGAUAUAGGGAGGAACACCAGUGGCGAAGGCGGCCUGCUGGACAUUAACUGACGCUGAGGCGCGAAAGCGUGGGGAGCGAACAGG
rnacentral:rRNA from 1 species